rnacentral:rRNA from 1 species
AGUGAACGCUGGCGGUAGGCCUAACACAUGCAAGUCGAACGGCAGCACAGGAGAGCUUGCUCUCUGGGUGGCGAGUGGCGGACAGGUGAGGAAUACAUCGGAAUCUACCUUUUCGGGGGGGAUAACGUAGGGAAACUUACGCUAAUACCGCAUACGACCUUCGGGUGAAAGCAGGGGACCUUCGGGCCUUGCGCGGAUAGAUGAGCCGAUGUCGGAUUAGCUAGUUGGCGGGGUAAAGGCCCACCAAGGCGACGAUCCGUAGCUGGUCUGAGAGGAUGAUCAGCCACACUGGAACUGAGACACGGUCCAGACUCCUACGGGAGGCAGCAGUGGGGAAUAUUGGACAAUGGGCGCAAGCCUGAUCCAGCCAUACCGCGUGGGUGAAGAAGGCCUUCGGGUUGUAAAGCCCUUUUGUUGGGAAAGAAAAGCAACCAGUUAAUACCUGGUUGUUCUGACGGUACCCAAAGAAUAAGCACCGGCUAACUUCGUGCCAGCAGCCGCAGUAA